rnacentral:rRNA from 1 species
GAUGAACGCUGGCGGCGUGCCUAAUACAUGCAAGUCGAGCGAACGGACGAGAAGCCUGCUUCUCUGAUGUUAGCGGCGGACGGGUGAGUAACACGUGGAUAACCUACCUAUAAGACUGGGAUAACUUCGGGAAACCGGAGCUAAUACCGGAUAAUAUUUUGAACCGCAUGGUUCAAAAGUGAAAGACGGUCUUGCUGUCACUUAUAGAUGGAUCCGCGCUGCAUUAGCUAGUUGGUAAGGUAACGGCUUACCAAGGCAACGAUGCAUAGCCGACCUGAGAGGGUGAUCGGCCACACUGGAACUGAGACACGGUCCAGACUCCUACGGGAGGCAGCAGUAGGGAAUCUUCCGCAAUGGGCGAAAGCCCGACGGAGCAACGCCGCGUGAGUGAUGAAGGUCUUCGGAUCGUAAAACUCUGUUAUUAGGGAAGAACAUAUGUGUAAGUAACUGUGCACAUCUUGACGGUACCUAAUCAGAAAGCCACGGCUAACUACGUG